rnacentral:lncRNA from 1 species
GGACACCAACAAAGCCUUGCAAUCUUGUGGUACGUCGAAGAAAAGGAUGUAAACUCCGUAAUUGCUGCGCAAAGAAACCACUCUCACAUGAAAUAUCAACCCUACCCUCCAACUCCACUCACACACCAACCCUCUCUAAAUUUCCAGCACCUUCACCUACCUAUCAAAGCCCACAUCCCGUCUACAAAACAUCUCCAUCACCAACAUAUCAGCCCACCUCUCCAUGAUAUUCCCUACCGGCACCCGUAUACUAAUCUUACAACUCCCAACCUCCUCACUAUCCAUCAC